rnacentral:pre_miRNA from 1 species
AUAAUACUCCCUCCGUCAGGAAAUACUUGUCAUCAAAAUGGAUAAAAGGAGAUGUAUCUAGAUGUAUUUUAGUACUAGAUACAUCUUUUUUUAUCCAUUUUGAUGAUAAGUAUUUUCGGAUGGAGGGAGUACCAU